rnacentral:misc_RNA from 1 species
GAUGAAGAACGUAGCGAAAUGCGAUAAGUAAUGCGAAUUGCAGAAUUCAGUGAGUCAUCGAAUCUUUGAACGCACAUUGCGCCCUGUGGUAUUCCGCAGGGCAUGCCUGUUCGAGCGUCAUUUCAACCCUCAAGCCUCGCUUGGUGUUGGGCCCUGCCCGCCGCGGCCGGCCCUAAAGAUAGUGGCGGCACCGCCUGGCCCUCAGCGUAGUACAGCUCUCGCUCCAGGGUCCGGCGGCAGCCUGCCAGAACCCCCCAACUCUGUGGUUGACCUCGGAUCAGGUAGGGAUACCCGCUGAACUUAAGCAUAUCAAUAAGCGGAGGA